CGACCCCAGGUCAGGCGGGAUUACCCGCUGAAUUUAAGC
rnacentral:rRNA from 1 species